AAUCUACCCCCAAAGAACAUUCUGGAACCACACCAGAAAAGAACAUGUGUCUUGCAGUGCUGGAUAUGCUAGGCAGUAGGUAAACAGUGGGAGUGUAUGGAAAGAGACACAGAGCAGGAACACAGGCUGGGAGUACACAGGUGCUGAUAACGAGGGGCUAACUGAGACUACAGAGAAACACAUGGGUGCAGAGGGUGAAGGAAGAUUAAAUGCUGGAAGCAAAGCAUGGGGAUCACUGGGAUAGGAAACCGAUGACGGGACACAAGGUGACAGAUAUCGGGCAGUUGGCUGAUUGAAUAACGAUGGAACGUCAAUGGACACCUUCAGAAUGUCCUGUCUUGGUGAGUGGGAGAGAGUUGCAGACAUUCAGUCAGCCUAUUGUGGUGACUGGCAUGAGGAGGCAGUGACGCCACUCUGGAUAUACAUAAAUGAUGGAGCUGGCCGUUAAUGCUGCUUAAUGAGCAAGAAUCAGACCCUUCUUCUUCCAAUGAGCAGUGAGUGAUUCAUCACACGUUUAAGCCUGAGACUGCAGAAAUAAACCUUUAAUAUUAAUUUUUUUCUGCUCGGUUAACAUUGAACAAAACCUAUUUAUUUGUUCUCUACUGAAUGCCAUAGAAAAGUCAUAUGUAUUACAAAAGUUAUAUGCAACUUGUUUCAUUAAAGACAUGCAAGAAUAUGUCAGCCAAGUGUGCAUGUUUAUGCAAUGAUAAAGCCCCCUGGUGCUCGUCUUACCUGGGGGAAUUACUAGCGAUUGGCUGUGAAAGUUCAUCCUGCACAAUCUUUUCUUUCCCCUGAUAUCAGCCAGGCAACAUCUGCAAUAGUCUCACGCAUACAAGCCAUGCCACCUGUACUGUGUGUACAUACAGUGUAGGUGGAUAUGUUCAAGCAGAACUCCAGGCAGAAAUGAGAUAAAAAUGAAUAGCCAAGUUAAAUCAUAAAAUAAAACCAGCUUUUGUUGCAAUAACUUUUAUUCCAGAUAUUUCCUCCACAGUACUUUUUUCUGCCACUAGAUGUCCCCAGUCUGUUGGCUAGCAUCAUUCAGCCCACUUCCUCUGGACCCACCCAAGCCUCUUACUGGACAGUGAAAAGAGAAGCAGCACAGUGAUCAACUCAUCCCUCUGCUCUCUCCUAUUGGGGUACUUCUUGUCAGCACAUGAACUCAUUGUUUCUACUGUGUUCCCUUUCAAACUAGUAGAUU